AUUUUAGGUUAAUAUAAUGUUCUCUAGUGGAUAUUAAACAAAUUAUGACAUAAAAACCUUAUUUUUUCCAUCGAACACAUUCUUGAAAAAAAGUGAACAAUAUUGUUUCCACAGUUAAAUUAUUUUGACUUUUAUCUUCCAUACGGUUUUGAAAGCUUUCAAAUCAACCAUCGAAUUAAUACAUGUCAUUUUAAUGUUUUUAUUCGUAUACUUAAGGAAAACUUACAUUUUUGUAAUUUAAAGUCGUUUUAAAAAAUUCAAAAUAUAACAUAUAAGGAAAAAUCUAACAUAUAAGAAAAAUAUAACAUAUAAGGUGUCCUCAUUUUUGUAUUUUAAAGUCGUUUUAAAAAAUAUAUAACAUAUAAGGUUUCUUCAU
rnacentral:lncRNA from 1 species